CACAACAGGCUUUCUCAUUUGGCUCCUCUUAUAAAUAUCACCCACCCUUCUUCAAACACAAACACCCUUUUCAGAUUUUAUUUGUUCAAUUUCCUCCCUUCAAACGACAUCGUUUGGAAAUGAGGACUGUGAGUGUUUUCGCUCUCCCACUUGUCGCUUUGUUCAUCAUGGCAAUCUCCCGUCUUGGCCAAGCUCAAGACUUGCCUCUUUCUCCAGCACCUCCUCCAACCAGUCAUGGAAACGCAAUUGAUCAAGGAAUUGCUUACAUUCUUAUGCUGGUGGCUCUCGCAAUCACAUACAUGAUGCAUUAAUUUUUCUUAUUCUUAUUCUUAUUAUCAUGGCCAGAUUAGAGAAUAUUUCAGAACUUUUUGUACUGUAAUUAUUAUUCAUGGAAUUUGUUAUUAUUUAUUCUGACUCACUUUCUUCA